GUCUGAGUAUUCCCUAUCGAAAAAUCGAAAUAUUUUAAUAUUGAAUUGCCGUGAGUUCAGUUGUCAAUAAUUUUAAAUGAAAGUUGAUAAAUUUACCAUGUGAAAGCUGCUUUACUGUAUUAGAAAUACCGCGUCAAUCAGCUGCUUUAAC